rnacentral:rRNA from 1 species
AUUGAACGCUGGCGGCAGGCCUAACACAUGCAAGUCGAGCGGUAAAGAGAAGCUUGCUUCUCUUGAGAGCGGCGGACGGGUGAGUAAUGCCUAGGAAUCUGCCUGGUAGGGGGGGAUAACGCUCGGAAACGGACGCUAAUACCGCAUACGUCCUACGGGAGAAAGCAGGGGACCUUCGGGCCUUGCGCUAUCAAAUGAGCCUAGGUCGGAUUACCUAGUUGGUGAGGUAAUGGCUCACCAAGGCGACAAUCCGUAACUGGUCUGAGAGGAUGAUCAGUCACACUGGAACUGAAACACGGUCCAAACUCCUACGGGAGGCAGCAGUGGGGAAUAUUGGACAAUGGGCGAAAGCCUGAUCCAGCCACGCCGCGUGUGUGAAGAAGGUCUUCGGAUUGUAAAGCACUUUAAGUUGGGAGGAAGGGCAGUUACCUAAUACGUAUCUGUUUUGACGUUACCGACAGAAUAAGCACCGGCUAACUCUGUG